rnacentral:rRNA from 1 species
UACGAAGGGGGCUAGCGUUGCUCGGAAUCACUGGGCGUAAAGGGUGCGUAGGCGGGUCUUUAAGUCAGGGGUGAAAUCCUGGAGCUCAACUCCAGAACUGCCUUUGAUACUGAAGAUCUUGAGUUCGGGAGAGGUGAGUGGAACUGCGAGUGUAGAGGUGAAAUUCGUAGAUAUUCGCAAGAACACCAGUGGCGAAGGCGGCUCACUGGCCCGAUACCUGACGCUGAGGCACGAAAGCGUGGG